UACAGGGGGGGCAAGCGUUGUUCGGAAUUACUGGGCGUAAAGGGCUCGUAGGCGGCCGGCUAAGUCCGACGUGAAAUCCCCAGGCUUAACCUGGGAACUGCGUCGGAUACUGGCGGGCUUGAAUCCGGGAGAGGGAUGCGGAAUUCCAGGUGUAGCGGUGAAAUGCGUAGAUAUCUGGAGGAACACCGGUGGCGAAGGCGGCAUCCUGGACCGGCAUUGACGCUGAGGCGCGAAAGCUAGGGGAGCAAACGGG
rnacentral:rRNA from 1 species